rnacentral:rRNA from 1 species
UCAAGCUAUAAAGAGCACAAGGGGAAUGCCUUGGCACUAGGAGCCGAAGAAGGACGUGACUAACUGCGAUAAGCUACGGGGAGUUGUAAGUAAACAUUGAUCCGUAGAUAUCCGAAUGGAGCAAUCUGGCUGUGGUCAUGCACAGUCAUCAUAUACUGAAUACAUAGGUAUAUGAGGGGAACCGCCUGAACUGAAACAUCUAAGUAGGGCGAGGAAGAGAAAUCAACCGAGAUUCCGCUAGUAGUGGCGAGCGAACGCGGAAGAGGCCAAACCAGAGGUAGAAAUACCUUUGGGGUUCGGACAACAUACGAUAUUGACAAUUUCUAGCUGAAUAGUGUGGGAAAGCUAACCGAAGAAGGUGAGAGUCCUGUAAGCGAAAGGAAGAGUCAGUCAGUUGUAUCCAGAGUACCGCCGGACACGUGAAACCCGGUGGGAAUACGGGGGGACCAUCCUCCAAGCCUAAAUACUACCUAGUGACCGAUAGAGAAGAAGUACUGUGAAGGAAAGGUGAAAAGCACCCCGGGAGGGGAGUGAAAGAGAACCUGAAACCUUGUGUUUACAAGCACCGAAAGUCCAUCAAAGGACGAUCGGGUACCUUUUGUAGAAUGGUCCGGCGAGUGUAUGUAUCUAGCAAGGUUAAGCACUUAAGGUGUGAAGCCAAAGCGAAAGCAAGUCUGAAUAGGGCGACAAGUUAGAUGUAUACGACCCGAAACCGGGUGACCUACCCAUGGCCAGGCUGAAGUGAAGGUAAAACUUCAUGGAGGGCCGAACCGACUCCCGUUGAAAUGGUAGCGGAUGAGUUGUGGGUAGCGGAGAAAUUCCAAUCGAACCCGGAGAUAGCUGGUUCUCUCCGAAAUAGCUUUAGGGCUAGCCUUGAAAUAGAUUACUGGAGGUAAAGCACUGAAUUGGCUAGGGGCCGAAAGGUUACUGAACCUUAUCAAACUCAGAAUGCCAGAUAAUCGUUUUUCAGGAGUCAGACGGUGGGAGAUAAGUUUCAUCGUCAAAAGGGAAACAGCCCAGACCCACAGCUAAGGUCCCAAAUUAUAGUUAAGUGGAGAAGGAUGUGGGAUUGCAUAGACAACCAGGAUGUUGGCUUAGAAGCAGCCACUCAUUAAAAGAGUGCGUAAUAGCUCACUGGUCGAGUGAUCCCGCGCCGAAAAUUUAACGGGGCUAAACUAUAAACCGAAGCUUGGGAUACCGCAAGGUAUGGUAGGAGAGCGUCAUGUAAGGGGUGAAGUCAUAGCGAAAGCGGUGGUGGACUUUACAUGAGUGAGAAUGCCGGAAUGAGUAGCGAGAAUUAAGUGAGAAUCUUAAUGGCCGAAAGUCUAAGGUUUUUGGAGGAAGGUUCGUCCGCUCCAAGUAAGUCGGGAGCUAAGGCGAGGCCGAAAGGCGUAGUCGAUGCACAUACGGUUGAUAUUCCGUAACCACUGACAACUUAAACAAAAUGACACUUUAGAAGGGCUUGACCCGGGUGCUGGUAAUCCCGGGCGUAAGGGACCGAAAUUUAGUAGGGAAGCAAGCUUGGAUGGAGGCGAGAAAAGUUUUGUGUAUGUAAUGUUGGUGCCCGUACCGCAAACCGACACAGGUGGACAGGAAGAGAAUUCUAAGGCCAGCGGGAGAAGGGUAGUUAAGGAACUCGGCAAAUUGACUCCGUAACUUCGGGAAAAGGAGUGCUCUCGAGAGAGAGCCGCAGUGAAUAGGCCCAGGCGACUGUUUAGCAAAAACACAGGUCUCUGCCAAAUCGAAAGAUGAAGUAUAGGGGCUGACACCUGCCCGGUGCUGGAAGGUUAAGAGGAGGAGUGAGAGCUCCGAAUUGAAGCCCCAGUAAACGGCGGCCGUAACUAUAACGGUCCUAAGGUAGCGAAAUUCCUUGUCGGGUAAGUUCCG